rnacentral:rRNA from 1 species
GAUGAACGCUGGCGGCGUGCCUAAUACAUGCAAGUCGAGCGAACGGACGAGAAGCUUGCUUCUCUGAUGUUAGCGGCGGACGGGUGAGUAACACGUGGAUAACCUACCUAUAAGACUGGGAUAACUUCGGGAAACCGGAGCUAAUACCGGAUAAUAUUUUGAACCGCAUGGUUCAAAAGUGAAAGACGGUCUUGCUGUCACUUAUAGAUGGAUCCGCGCUGCAUUAGCUAGUUGGUAUGGUAACGGCUUACCAAGGCAACGAUGCAUAGCCGACCUGAGAGGGUGAUCGGCCACACUGGAACUGAGACACGGUCCAGACUCCUACGGGAGGCAGCAGUAGGGAAUCUUCCGCAAUGGGCGAAAGCCUGACGGAGCAACGCCGCGUGAGUGAUGAAGGUCUUCGGAUCGUAAAACUCUGUUAUUAGGGAAGAACAUAUGUGUAAGUAACUGUGCACAUCUUGACGGUACCUAAUCAGAAAGCCACGGCUAACUACGUGCCAGCAGCCGCGGUAAUACGUAGGUGGCAAGCGUUAUCCGGAAUUAUUGGGCGUAAAGCGCGCGUAGGCGGUUUUUUAAGUCUGAUGUGAAAGCCCACGGCUCAACCGUGGAGGGUCAUUGGAAACUGGAAAACUUGAGUGCAGAAGAGGAAAGUGGAAUUCCAUGUGUAGCGGUGAAAUGCGCAGAGAUAUGGAGGAACACCAGUGGCGAAGGCGACUUUCUGGUCUGUAACUGACGCUGAUGUGCGAAAGCGUGGGGAUCAAACAGGAUUAGAUACCCUGGUAGUCCACGCCGUAAACGAUGAGUGCUAAGUGUUAGGGGGUUUCCGCCCCUUAGUGCUGCAGCUAACGCAUUAAGCACUCCGCCUGGGGAGUACGACCGCAAGGUUGAAACUCAAAGGAAUUGACGGGGACCCGCACAAGCGGUGGAGCAUGUGGUUUAAUUCGAAGCAACGCGAAGAACCUUACCAAAUCUUGACAUCCUUUGACAACUCUAGAGAUAGAGCCUUCCCCUUCGGGGGACAAAGUGACAGGUGGUGCAUGGUUGUCGUCAGCUCGUGUCGUGAGAUGUUGGGUUAAGUCCCGCAACGAGCGCAACCCUUAAGCUUAGUUGCCAUCAUUAAGUUGGGCACUCUAAGUUGACUGCCGGUGACAAACCGGAGGAAGGUGGGGAUGACGUCAAAUCAUCAUGCCCCUUAUGAUUUGGGCUACACACGUGCUACAAUGGACAAUACAAAGGGCAGCGAAACCGCGAGGUCAAGCAAAUCCCAUAAAGUUGUUCUCAGUUCGGAUUGUAGUCUGCAACUCGACUACAUGAAGCUGGAAUCGCUAGUAAUCGUAGAUCAGCAUGCUACGGUGAAUACGUUCCCGGGUCU